GACGAACGCUGGCGGCGUGCUUAACACAUGCAAGUCGAACGAAGUGGCGAACGGGUGAGUAAUACGUUGGUAACCUGCCCUCCUUUUUGGGAUAAGCCUUGGAAACGGGGUCUAAUACCGAAUAAAGGGGGAUGGGCUCGCGGCCUAUCAGCUUGUUGGUGGGGUGAUGGCCUACCCAGGCGGUGACGGGUAGCCGGCCUGAGAGGGGGACGGGCCACAUUGGGAUGGGGAUACGGCCCAGAAUCCUACGGGAGGCAGCAGUGGGGGAUAUGGCACAAUGGGCGAAAGCCUGAUGCAGCGACGCCGCGUGGGGGAUGAAGGCUUUCGGGUUGUAAACCUCGUUCGCUAGCGAACGGGUAGGUGGAGAAGAAGCGCCGGCUAACUACGUGCCAGCAGCCGCGGUAAUUC
rnacentral:rRNA from 1 species